rnacentral:rRNA from 1 species
UACGACGGGAGCUAGCGUUGUUCGGAAUUACUGGGCGUAAAGCGCACGUAGGCGGAUUUGUUAGUCAGGGGUGAAAUCCCGGGGCUCAACCUCGGAACUGCCUUUGAUACUGCAAGUCUCGAGUCCGAGAGAGGUGAGUGGAAUUCCUAGUGUAGAGGGGAAAUUCGUAGAUAGUAGGAAGAACACCAGUGGCGAAGGCGGCUCACUGGCUCGGUACUGACGCUGAGGUGCGAAAGCGUGGGGAGCAAACAGG